AAGGGUAUAGCUCAAAGUGGUAGAGCACAUGCUUAGCAUGUACAAGGUCCUGGGUUCAAUCCCCAGUACCUCCU
rnacentral:tRNA from 1 species